UACAGGGGGUGCAAACGUUGCUCGGAAUUAUUGGGCGUAAAGCGCGCGUAGGCGGCUACUUAAGUCGGAUGUGAAAGCCCUUGGCUCAACUGAGGAAGUGCACCCGAAACUGAGUGGCUUGAGUACUAAAGAGGGUCGCGGAAUUCCCGGUGUAGAGGUGAAAUUCGUAGAUAUCGGGGGGAACACCGGUGGCGAAGGCGGCGACCUGGGUAGAUACUGACGCUGAGGCGCGAAAGCGUGGGGAGCAAACAGG
rnacentral:rRNA from 1 species